rnacentral:rRNA from 1 species
UACGGGGGGGGCAAUCGUUGUUCGGAAUUACUGGGCGUAAAGGGCUCGUAGGUGGCCAACUAAGUCAGACGUGAAAUCCCUCGGCUUAACCGGGGAACUGCGUCUGAUACUGGAUGGCUUGAGUUCGGGAGAGGGAUGCGGAAUUCCAGGUGUAGCGGUGAAAUGCGUAGAUAUCUGGAGGAACACCGGUGGCGAAGGCGGCAUCCUGGACCGACACUGACACUGAGGAGCGAAAGCCAGGGGAGCAAACGGG